rnacentral:miRNA from 1 species
CUUACCCUAGACACGAGGCAUGUGAGUGAUUGUCUUCUUCACUCAAGCAGUUACAUGCCUAGUGUCUAGAAUUAG